AAUGCUGUUUUUUUUUUUUUUUACUCUUAGAUAUGCUGGGAUUAAAAAAUGUUUUAGCAUCAAGCACAGUCUCCCAAUUUGAACAACAACUUCACAUAGUGAUGGAUAAUUCAAGAAGAUUUUUUUCAAGCUGUCACCACAAUCAAUAAUUCUAUGUUGUUAUUGUUUAUGUAAUGCUCUCAAUGUGUGUGCUACCUUAAAGCAGGGCUGUACAAAGCAUAACAUGCAGGCUGCAUGUGGCCCUUGGGUCCCACUUUUCUAAUGCUCCCCAGGAGUCCCCUCCGAAGCACCACAAUCUCAACUGGAACAACUUUAUCCAUAAUUUGGCUGAGGAUGUAAAGACCAAAACAUGGUGUGUGCCUGCCCUACCUUAGUUUCCCUGUAUACUUAGUGCAGCAUAGAACUAGACUGGAGGGCCAGAGGGAGAUUUGCCAUCACCCCUAAGUGUUAUAUCUCCCUCACAAAGAAACUCAUCCAUCCUGAUGUCAACCUAGUAGGGUUCUCCCUGUUAGGCUCCCCUAGCUUGAGACCAUGAAGUGUAGAUGUACCAGUGGAAGAGAUUCAGCAGAUGCCUGAAGACCAGCCAAGCCCUCCUUCUGUUCAACAGAAUAUCCUCGUCCUCUGGUCCAUCAGCUGUAGUGGGCACCAGCUACCAUUAAUAGGACAAAGGUGGAACAAAAGGGGAAAGUAACAGAUGGAGGAAAUUUACACUGAAUUUCCCUGAGGUAGAUUCUCAAUC
rnacentral:lncRNA from 11 species